rnacentral:rRNA from 1 species
GAUGAACGCUGGCGGCGUGCCUAAUACAUGCAAGUCGAGCGAACGGACGAGAAGCUUGCUUUUCUGAUGUUAGCGGCGGACGGGUGAGUAACACGUGGAUAACCUACCUAUAAGACUGGGAUAACUUCGGGAAACCGGAGCUAAUACCGGAUAAUAUUUUGAACCGCAUGGUUCAAAAGUGAAAGACGGUCUUGCUGUCACUUAUAGAUGGAUCCGCGCUGCAUUAGCUAGUUGGUAAGGUAACGGCUUACCAAGGCAACGAUGCAUAGCCGACCUGAGAGGGUGAUCGGCCACACUGGAACUGAGGCACGGUCCAGACUCCUACGGGAGGCAGCAGUAGGGAAUCUUCCGCAAUGGGCGAAGGCCUGACGGAGCAACGCCGCGUGAGUGAUGAAGGUCUUCGGAUCGUAAAACUCUGUUAUUAGGGAAGAACAUAUGUGUAAGUAACUGUGCACAUCCUGACGGUACCUAAUCAGAAAGCCACGGCUAACUACGUG